UUCAGAUCAAUGUAUCAUAUUCUUUAAUUAAUAUAUAUCAUUAACUUGUUUCAGUAAUAAUUGAAUUUACAAUAGAACUAAUUAUGAGUUAAAGGAGGUUAUUAAAACAUCCACAAUUGAUCAAAUGCCAAAUUGUAUAGUUCAUAAAAAAUGUUGAACUGUCGUCGCGAUGUUGGGGUUUUCACGUCAUGACAUGGCGAACUUGUUAUCGUGACGUUGUCUCUAUUUUCCUACAAGUUCCACGAUUUAUUUUUAUUUAUUUAUUUAUAUCAUUACCUGAACCGUAUUCAGAUGUCAUAACUACCCCUUCAUUUUACAUAUCAUCCACUUACAUCUAUUUCUAAUCUCCAAUCCUCAUAAAAGCAUGAUAUUCAAUAAAAGAUAACAAAGUUUAUAAAAUAAGCACAAAUAUUAAAGUUUUACAAAUAAAACCAUUGGAAGACUUGCACUUUCAAAGUAGUUUACCCUCUUUAUGUAUAUUUCAUAUUUAUUUCUAAAUUGUGCUAAUCAAUUUAAUUCUUCAUAAAAUUUUAACAAGAAUUCAAUAUCACAUCAAUUAACAAUUAUUCACUUAUUAUUUUAUCAAUUUGUUUAAACAUAUUCACAUGUAUUAAUCAUUCCAUCACUUACAACCAUUUCAAAACAUUUCAAAUUCACUUACUAUAUAUAUAUAUAUAUUCAUAUAUUUUUUCCUCCUCCUCUCCAUUCCACAUCCUUUAUGUAUAUAUUUAUUAAAACCUUUAGCUUUUAAUAUAUAACAUGCUUAUACGUAACAUUGUCUAUAAUUCCACUAUUUACUUAUAUGUUCAUAACAAAGCUGUCCACUUGAGUCAUAGUCAUUAAAUUGUUUAUAUCUUGAGCUACAGAAUUCGAAAUUAAGAUCCGCUUGAUUUUUUUAAAACUAGACUCAAAUAUCUUUUUACCAUAAAAAUUUCAGAAUUUAUAAUUCAGCCAAUCAGCACAGUAAAUUAUUCAAAUUUCUCUCUGUUCUGUUGCUUGACAGCUUUGACAUUUCUUUACUAAAAAUUAAUUAUCUCUUAGUACGUGGUUUGAAUGAUUUUUUUUUCGUUUGUUUUUAGCGAAAAUAGACUCAUUAAUAAUUUAAACAUAUAAAUUUAAACUCAUAAUCAUUUUUUUACAAUUUUUUAUGAUUUUCCAAAUUCAGAAUAGGGGAACUCAAAUCUACUCCGACCUUGUUUCACGAAAAUUAAUAUAUCUCAAACUAUAAAAUCCCGUUUCUUUCACCGUUUCUUCCAUAUGAAAUUAGUCUCAAUAAGCUUUAAUUCCAUAUUUAAUUCAAUCUCUAAAUAAAUUUCUAUAAUUUUAGGUGAAUUUUAAAAGUUAAGUCACUACUGCUGUCCAAACUGUUUUAAUGAAAAUAUUUCUUUUCCAAGGUUCUUUGCACUAUCUUUCAUUCAAUCACACAUAAUUGCCAUACUUUUGAUUACUAUACAAUUUAGUCACUUAUUUUUAUAUUUAGAUUACAUAUUCAUUUCUUAAUAUUAGUACUUUUCACCAAACAAAUCACAUUCUCUCUUACCAAUUUAGUGUUUUAAGUCUAGUCUUCAUCAACUACUUUCUAUUUCUAGUAUUUUUAUUAAAUACAUGUUUCACACAUCUCACUCAAAACAUCUUUAACUCAAUCUAUUGAAAUACAAGUAGAUUUAGUAUGAAACUUACUUCCUUUGUCAAGAAUUUCUUCAUUUCCAUGCAUUUCUCAUCUUCACCACUUUCCUUCCUUUUUCUUCCCAUUUUCUCCACUUUCAUCUACUAUUUUCUUGCUUCUAAAUUGAUGAACAUAUUCUCUAGAACCUCUAAUUUGCUUCUAAAUUGAUGAAAAUAUUCUCUAGAACCUCUACUUCAUCUUCUCUCUUUAAUAUCUAAGGAAAAAUUAAAAAAUUUUGGAUAAAAAUGUAGGUUUUCAUGGCAAAGGACUAAAUUGUAAAGAAAAGAAAACUUCCUUUCUCACCCUUUCACUCACGUUGGAAGGAU
rnacentral:lncRNA from 1 species